rnacentral:rRNA from 1 species
UACGAAGGGUGCAAGCGUUACUCGGAAUUACUGGGCGUAAAGCGUGCGUAGGUGGUUUGUUAUGUCGGAUGUGAAAGCCCUCGGCUCAACUGAGGAAGUGCAUCCGAAACUGGCAAGCUAGAGUAUGUAAGAGGGUCGCGGAAUUCCCGGUGUAGAGGUGAAAUUCGUAGAUAUCGGGAGGAACACCGGUGGCGAAGGCGGCGACCUGGGACAAUACUGACACUGAGGUGCGAAAGCGUGGGGAGCAAACAGG